UACGUAUGGUGCAAGCGUUAUCCGGAUUUACUGGGUGUAAAGAGAGCGCAGGCGGCACGGCAAGCCUGAUGUGAAAGCCCGCGGCCCAACCGCGGGACUGCAUUGGGAACUACCGGGCUGGAGUGCCGGAGAGGUAGGCGGAAUUCCUAGUGUAGCGGUGAAAUGCGUAGAUAUUAGGAGGAACACCAGUGGCGAAGGCGGCCUACUGGACGGUGACUGACGCUGAGGCUCGAAAGCGUGGGGAGCAAACAGG
rnacentral:rRNA from 1 species